GUCCUGUUAGUGUAGUGGUUAUCACGUCUGUCUGACAUACAGAAGGUCCCCAGUUCAAGCCUGGGACAGGACA
rfam:Amphiamblys sp. WSBS2006 Amphi_50, whole genome shotgun sequence.